CACCCCUCUAUAACCCUCUCGGUUCGAGUCAUGAUCAAAACAACUUUCUCAUUUCUACGGGUUUGUCUAUCAUUUGCGAGUAUUCUCAUUCUUCUAUUCCAGUGGUUCUCAAUCCUAGUCGGCUUGUGGGACAUCGACAUGUCAGGCCCGUGGGCUUCAGAUCGCGGGGACCGAAAAACUCUGGUUUAAUAAUGUAAUGAGGGCGGGAGUUUCGAGGUGCUGGAUAAGUGUAGAGUCACGGCCUAGGGAGGUCCCGCAGGUCGUACUUUGAGCAUCACUGGCUUUUUUUUUUUUGUUAUCCACUAAAUUAUAUUUUAAUUCUUAAGUAUCAUCACUUAGGUAUCUUUUCUUUUAUGUACUGUUGUUCAGUCAUUGAUAAAUCUUAUAUUUCAUCAGAUAAACGUUUUUGUUUUUUCUUACUUUGUCACAUGCCAUUGUACAAUUUUAUAACUCUUUGAACUUUUCCUCAAAAACUUUGUGAAAAAAAACAAAAAAACCCCAAGAACCCAGCCAUAUUGAUAUUAUUUUGAUCUUCCGUGAACACACUUAUUUGUUUCCUCACUCUUCUGAGUUCAACUUUUUUAAAAAUUUGCCGUGGAUUCAUACAGAUCCACAACAGAAACAAGCAAAUCAAAAAAUCAAACUAUUUUUUUAAAUUUAUGUUAAGAUCUUAGCGAAACAAAAGAUUAAUUAACACACAACUUCCUUUUUGGGUGUGAAAAAGUCAUGUGCUAAUUAAUAAACACGCUAUCACCCCCUAGUCAUAUUUUGAAAAAUGAUAUUGUGUAUUCUUUUUUUUUUUGUCUUAAUCUCACCUGUAAUGACCUACAUUCAAAUCUCACCUGUAUUGACCUAAUUUCUGCUGAGAAACAAAGCCGUUGUUAAACUUUGAUUUUUUUGAAAAUUUCUUUUGUAUUUUUUGUUUCGUUUUUAAUCUCAUUUGAAUGUAUUCUCAUCUACACUAGUCAUUGGUUGUUGAUGACAUGCCUUACCAUGGAUAAUGGUUAUCAGUUGAAACAUGCAAUACCCGCAAUAAAUCAUUUUAUUUCUUGUACAAAA